rnacentral:snoRNA from 1 species
CUGCGUCUAUUCAUCCAAUUGUCAAUGUGAAAUACAGCAUUGGCGAUUCAGCGUAUUUCAGACGCAAUAAUGACAACUUCUCCAUUGACGUCUAGUCGGACUAAACCGGCUCGGAUACAAUUAGGGAGUUGACAGUU